UGCAGGUAAGGCCCAGUACCGGCGAAGUUGAAGCCGGCAAAAGCUCAAAUUCUGAAAACCCCGGGAAAUGUAAUUCUGAAGAGAUUUGGGUCCGGCCGGCGGGGGUUAAGUCCACUGGAAAGUGGCGCCACAGAGGGUGACAGCCCCGUGAACCCCUUUAACGCCUUCAUCCCAGAUCUCCAAGAGUCGAGUUGUUUGGGAAUGCAGCUCUAAGUGGGUGGUAAAUUCCAUCUAAAGCUAAAUACCGGCGAGAGACCGAUAGCGAACAAGUACAGUGAUGGAAAGAUGAAAAGCACUUUGAAAAGAGAGUGAAAAAGUACGUGAAAUUGUUGAAAGGGAAGGGCUUGCAAGCAGACACUUAACUGGGCCAGCAUCGGGGCGGCGGGGAGCAAAACCACCGGGGAAUGUACCUUUCGAGGAUUAUAACCCCGGUCCUUACUCCCAUACUGCCCCGAGGCCUGCAAUCUAAGGAUGCUGGCGUAAUGGUUGCAAGUCGCCCGUCU
rnacentral:rRNA from 2 species